rnacentral:rRNA from 1 species
GAUGAAGUCAAAUACAGCACGGCCCUUACGUCCGGGGCGACACACGUGUUACAAUGGGGGGUACAGAGGGUUGCUACCUAGUGAUAGGAUGCUAAUCUCAUAAAGCCUCUCUCAGUUCGGAUUGGAGUCUGCAACUCGACUCCAUGAAGCUGGAUUCGCUAGUAAUCGCGCAUCAGCCAUGGCGCGGUGAAUACGUUCCCGGGCCUUGUACACGCCGCCCGUCAAACCAUGGGAGUUUGGGGUACCUAAAGUCCGUGACCGCGAGGGACGGCCUAGGGUAAAUCAGAU